AACGCACAUUGCGCCCCUUGGUAUUCCAUGGGGCAUGCCUGUUCGAGCGUCAUUUGUACCUUCAAGCUUUGCUUGGUGUUGGGUGCUUGUCUUUUUGUUAAGACUCACCUCAAAGUCAUUGGCAGCCAGUGUUUUGGUAGUAAGCGCAGCACAUUUUGCGUCUUGGUCCCUCAACAGCGGCAUCCAUCAAGCCAUUUUCUCACUUUUGACCUCGGAUCAGGUAGGGAUACCCGCUGAACUUAA
rnacentral:misc_RNA from 2 species